UGUCGCUCCUGGCUCCUGCACACUUCCAUACGGAAGUGACACGCCGGCUCCUCUGCCAUUGCAUUCACCAGAACUAGUCACGUGGCCACGCCCGCCUUCACAGGGCGGAAGGUGAAAUUCCGUGUGCUUAGCAGAGGACAAUUCAAACGGGUGUCCAGCAGAGAUGGUCAGGACCUCAGCCCGCAGCUAUGAGAAGGGGUCCUCCGGGUGGAGGGAAGAGUCUAGCCCCGCAGGCGAGGCGGGGAAGCAGAGGCGUGCUUCCAAGACGUCCAGAGGCGCGAUCAGGGCGAAUACUUCUGUAUGGUUUCCGACAUGCAGGACUACUUAAAAAAAAAAAAGAAAACUUUUCUGGACUUCCUUUUUUCUCAUGUACAUUUUUAACCCCUGCAGUGCCAACAUUCAAAUGAAGAAUGAAAACAUUUCUAUGUGAAUGCAUACUUGGAGAGAACAUUCAUAUGCCUUACUUUAAUUUUAUCCUUAUAACAGCUCUGUAAGGUGGGCAGUGAAGGUCUGUUGCCAUCAUCAUGUUUCUUUUUUCUUUUUUUUUUUUUUGAGACAGAGUCUUGCUCUGUUGCCCAGGCUGGAGUGCAGUGGCGCUAUCUCGGCUCAUGCAAGCUCCACCUCCUGGGUUCAUGCC
rnacentral:lncRNA from 10 species